rnacentral:lncRNA from 1 species
AACAAAUGCAUUCUUAAUUGCUAACGUUGUUUCUCUAUUCAGGUUCAGAGCCCAAUCAUCUGCAGGAACCCAUCAGUCCUCACAGCAGAAUUAUUCAAUCAUGUACCAGAUGGCAAAGAAAGCUGAGCUGGAGGAGCAAGGACGCAGUGUAGCACGAUACAUUCGUAAAUUAUAUAUCCAGCGAUGCAAGAAGUUGAAUAUUGAGUUUGAGGAGGACGAGGAGCCUGAGGGAGUGCUACAUCCAAGUGACGCCGGUCCUUUUCAACACACUGAUAAAGAAUAUGCCACUCCAAACCCUAAUGAUGUUGGCCACUUGUCAGAAAUACCAUCACAACAAGAACAGGCUGAAAUGCCACGUCUUCCUUGCUUAAACAAACCAGUGGAAUAUAGCAUGUCUGAUGAGUACAUCGAUCUGCUAGACAAGAAAGCAAAGGCCUUUUUUAGUAGGGUGAGCCCGGUGAAGCAACGUUCUCGGAAAGAAACAAUUGCGAAUGGACUUCAAUAUUUGACCGAGGAAGCAUUCUUAGCGUUCAGAAACUAUAUUGCAGAAAAGGAUGCUUUUGAGGUUUGCGACCUUGCAUAAAACCUACUAGUAUAUUUCAUCUUAUUAUCAUUGUUAUCGCUCUUUCUUAUUUUAAGAUUUUUUUUAGGAAGUUGAUUACAAGUUUGGUGAAAUAUUGCACCACUGCUUUAGUGUUAUGGAAUAUAGGAAGGUUUAUUGCCACUAUAAUUUCACUGUUGAGAUGAAGAAUAAGGAUGAGGAAUGCUGGACCUCUAGGCUUUAUUUUGCUGAAACAAAGCUGAUGCAUGGCGUCAAGUAUUAUUUUUGCACUCCACUUGAGGCAACUGAUGAUGGUAUGUGUUCUUGCCUGUUUCUACUUAAACUUUAUUGUUCAAACAACACUGUACUCAUGGCAUGUUCUUUUAUAAUCUAACACUGUACUCUGUGUCACAUCUUUAGCCAAAACUUCAGCAGGGACCGGUCUUCUUUUUAUUCCGUUCUUUUUUUUUAUCUAAAGCAAAGCAUCAUCUUAUAAUUACUCCACUGUUUGGAUUAAAUUAGUGAAAAAUGUGAACCAUGAAUCUUUCAUUUGGGAUUAUCAUUACACAUUUAUAACACUAUUGUGGGUUUCAGUUGCCACUUGAUGCUGGUAAAGGAAAUAUGAUUUCCUCGUUUAAGAAUAGAAAAAUCUUUUAAGAUGCACAAUACAUGUAGGAUUUGCUACUGAAUGUUUCACUGACAUAUUGCUCAAAUAAAUACUUGAGUAUGAUAAUUGCGAUGUGAAUAAAUAGUAUUAAGUUGUUUUCUCAUGCAUGUUGUAUAUCUGAUUUGUAUUGAUCAUAUCUACACUAACCUUAGAGCAAGUAAUAGAAAGUCCCCACUUGAAUAUGCGAUUCGUCUUUCUGAUGAUGAAGAAGAUAGUCGGAAAUAACUAGUAAGACUUGUGUACUGAAGUACUGAAUACAUCUAAAUGGUUUGUGCAAGCCAAAUCCAUACAUGAUUAACAUAGCAGAAAUUGUAAAUACAAUGAAGUUUACCUCACUAUUGGAAACCGUGCCUCGAAAACAUAAAACUAGGUGUACGUUGUGAGUACUUGAUUUGGAGAUGUAGGCAGGCCCUACAGUGUAAGCUAUUAGGAUGAUCAGGAUAUAAUUUUCCAUAUCAUCACUUUUAUGUCCUCACAAAAAUUGGUACUCUUGUUGGUUGUAUUUGAAAGAAAAGGCAUGUCUGUUAGCAGUAUUAGUUGCAUUUAGUCUAGUUAUACAUGGUUUUCACAUUGGUUUUGGAUCUUGAUGAGGAGUUGAGUCCCUAUUUUCCUCUUAACUAAAUAUAUUGAACCUUAGUUUCGUUAGUUUUUACCAGUAGUAGUAUUAUUGUUAUCCACUGCGUGAUACACGGUUCACAUCAAAUCAAAUUGCUCUCUUCUUUUCCGACCACUGUUAUUAUUGAUGUUUUCUGUUCCUGAAGGUUGUUGCAAUGCAUGCAAAAACCAAGGUGUUAAUGAGCUCAAGCACCCAUCUGAAGGAGGCUACGAGAAAGGUCAAAGUAGCACUCGGUGCCAGUACUUUGAUGGAGAUUCUGAUGAGGAAUGCUGAAGAAACCAGUGCUUGUGUUUCCCCACUGAGCUAACCAACAGCUUGUCCAAUAGUAUGUUAGUGCUGAUGUUAACUUAAUAGUCACUGCUGUAAUGUUCCAAGUAGUAGGCUGUUUACCUUCUAGGCCAGUAAUUAUAUAUGUUUAUGAAGUACUGUUUGUCUAGUUGAAGGUGUUGCGCCAAGUGAGAUCCACAUAGGCAAAUUAGGAUUAAUGCUGUGGAUGGCGUUGGCUCAAAGUUGGUCUAAUUAGCUCCAAAAUCUGAUAUAUGUUAUGCCAGUUUAUGGGUGUGUUUAGUUCCUGAAAAAAGUUGGAAGUUUGAAGAAAGUUGGGAGUUUAGAAAAAAAAUUAAAAGUUUUUUAUGUAAUAUGAUGUGAUAGAAAGUUGAGAAUAGGGGGGAAACUAAACACGGCCUAUAUAAGGUUAUUGCUGACUGCAUCUUUCACUGUAAACAAUAACAGCAUUCUUCAGUAUGGUCAUUUCGCUAGUAACCUUCGUGGAUCAAAUUGCCC